rnacentral:rRNA from 1 species
UACAGAGGUCUCAAGCGUUUGUUCGGAUUCAUUGGGCGUAAAGGGUGCGUAGGUGGCGCCGUAAGUCAGGGUGUGAAAUUUCGGAGCUUAACUCCGAAACUGCAUUUGAUACUGCGGUGCUUGAGGACUGGAGAGGAGACUGGAAUUUAACGGUGUAGCAGUGAAAUGCGUAGAGAUCGUAAGGAAGACCAGUGGCGAAGGCGGG